rnacentral:rRNA from 1 species
AUUGAACGCUGGCGGCAGGCUUAACACAUGCAAGUCGAGCGAGUGGCGGACGUGUGAGUAAUGUCUGGGAAACUGCCUGAUGGAGGGGGAUAACUACUUGAAACGGUAGCUAAUACCGCAUACCCUCAGAUGUGCCCAGAUGGGAUUGGCUAGUAGGUGGGGUAAUGGCUCACCUAGGCGACGAUCCCUAGCUGGUCUGAGAGGAUGACCAGCCAGAAUGGAACGUAGACACGGUCCAGACUCCUACGGGAGGAAGAAGUGGGGAAUAUGGCACAAUGGGCGAAAGCCUGAUGCAGACAUGCCGCGUGUGUGAAGAAGGCCUUCGGGUUGUAAAGCACUUGCAGCGAGGAGGCGUUACGCGCAGAAGAAGCACCGGCUAACUCCGUGCCAGCAGCCGCGGUAAUUC